UAAUUGGCUGUGUGCUUUUGUAACCGCUGGGCUAUUAAUAUUGGAGAAAGCCAGGAAGCUCAUCGGUGUGUUUACUGCUGCGGACAGUUUUUUUUAUAUCUCGAAUAAAGGAGGGAAAACAAGGGAAUAAUGGUCUGACUGCUAAUCAAAGCUACCAUCUACGUGGUGAGGAGGAUCCGGGCUUCCAUUGCUGAAGGAGAGCAACUGGAAAAGCCCAUCAUCACACCAUGUAGUGCAGUAGCUGACAUGAGGGCGGGUGGCAAGUCUCGUGGAAACGGCCUACCUGCUGCACUAAGCUCAGGACCUGAUGAAGGUGCUGGUGGAGCGGCAGGCCUGGGAACGUCCUCGGAGACAACCGUGCAGAAGUGUGGCUCCUGACGUUAAAGAUCAUGCUGGACACUGGGACUGUGGUCAACUCAGUGGCACAGUUUCAUUUGUUUUCUUUUCAUUUUAUCAGCACAGGACGACAUAAUGGUGUCAAUCCAAAAAUAUACAAACUAAGUUAUGUAAUAUGAAGUUAUUGUUUACUUUCCUGUGUCCAUGUUGUACCCGGUAUCCAAUGUCCAGCUCAGGAUGACUCGCAUGUCGGCCUUUUUCACAGCAAACAUUUUGACUUCCCAUCACCGCAGCAAAAAAAAAAAGGUGCAACUAAUAACACUAAGUAGUGAAUCUUCUACGUUUAAUUUUGCUGGUGAGCUGCCAUGCAAAGUGCUACAGGGCCUUGCUUUUAUAUGUGUAAAUCCAGUGAAGACAUCUAUGCCAUUAAGUGUGUGUGGUUUAGUCGACAUGUGUUCUGUGAGAAAGGCUUGAAUUUAAGUGCUACAGCGUUUGAAGGUCCGCUCACCAACCUCUCUCCAGGGACUGAGCAGGUCUGAUGUUUCUGUCGGUACAUCAAUAAAUUUUAAGAAAAUA